rnacentral:lncRNA from 1 species
GCCUGCAAGUGCCAGCACUGUGGGCAGCCAGCGUGAGGGCGCACACGGCUGACAAGGAGGCUCCAGGAAUAGGAAAAGUGGAGAAGAAGCACUGCCGGUCCAGCGGCGAGCGGAUGGUGACUGCAGGGCCUCAGCUGCUCUCGGAACGUUCUCACCUGCAAGAUCCAUCCUGGCAGAGACACGCACCGGUGCUAAUCAGCUGUGUUAGUGCGGCAGGCAGCAGGUCGCAAUCCAUUUUCACCUGCAUGCUGCAAUCGAUGCCCUGCUCUUCCCAUCACAGGCAGAGGGCAAACACAGCCCGGAGCAGGGGCUGCAGGUGUGGUAGGAGCCAGGAUGCUGGAAGUUUUGCUCCCUGCAAAGUGGCCUUGGUCCCAAAACUGCUUGGGAACUGCAGGAGAGGAACCGUGUGGGGUUUGUCUGAAAGCAGGAUCUGCUUACAUGUACAUGUUUGGGCCCACAGAAAGACGGCUCAAGGAGAUCCGUGGAGCCCAGACAGAGAGAUUAGUGACAAAGCUCCAUGUAAUCCUCCAGGGUUCACUGCGGGGUUGUGGGAUCCAGCAGCAUGCUUCAGCAGUAGAGAGGAGCUCAGUGAAUCAGGGCAUCCCUAUUUCCAUCCACGCCCUGCCCUGUGAUCACCACUAAAUCACUUCUUUCUGUACUUCAUUUCCUGCACCCGACAUAGCAGGGACACGAGGCUCCCUUUCUCCUCUGGCAAGCACCGAGCUCCUAGCAGGAAACCUAAUCUAGGUGGCACAGCAAUUGCAGCAUCAUUUACUAAUGCUGUGUUGAGGCAGACAAUAGUAAAGGGUAAAAACCAGUGUAAAAACACCAAACAGUCUGAGAAUGCAAAAAGCCUUUCUGUGCCGCAGUCACACAUCACAUCACAGCCCAAAGCUGGAAGAAGCAGGGAUGCCAGCAGCAGGCAAAUAGCAGUGCCGGCAGCUCAGAAAGCAGCGUGUGCUCCUGGCUGAGUGACCAUAGAUUACCACAACUCUGCACCCUGCGUACAUGCAGACCCAGGACAGACCCUGCAGGGAAGCUCAGGAAAGCACUCUACUGUUUGCAAAUGUCAGGAGCACGCUAAGUUUGCCAAGCAUCAAAAUGAGAACCAGACACCGUUAAGAGCAAUUGCACCCAGGGUAGCAGACGCCGGCACGGCAGAGCAUGAAGCCUGACCAGGUAGAAGUGAGCUUCUUGUGCACAGGUCGGAAUAACAACUGCAUCGUCUCAUGGACAGUGUGCAGAGGGGUAAAAAAAAGGAGCGGGGAAGAAAAUGAGCUGCUGAGAAGUUUGCAAAGCUGGCUUACAUGUUCACAGCCACUGCCUUUUUCCAGCUGUUGAUGCAAUGACCCGUUCGCAUUUUCUGCUCAGCUCCGGGCUCUCUGCUGCAGCCAUCAGCACCUGGUAAAAAGACUGUG